rnacentral:tRNA from 1 species
GUGGUAUUAGCUCAGUUGGUUAGAGCGCGUCCCUGUGGAGGAUGAGGUCGCCGGUUCGAGUCCGGUAUACCACCCCA